rnacentral:rRNA from 1 species
UACGGGGAGGGCGAGUGUUAUUCAGCGUAAUUGGGCGUAAAGGGCAUCUAGGCGGUUUAAUAAGUUCAAACUAAAAAUCUACAGCUUAACUGUAUGAACGUGUUUGAAUACUGUUGGACUUCGAGUAUAGGGGAAGAUAGCGGUACUUUUAAAGUAAAGGUAAAAUUUUUAAAUAAUAAAGGGACCACCAACAGGCGAUAGCGGCUGUCUAUCCUAUUACUGACGCUGACGUGCAAAAGCGUGGGGAGCAAACAGG